rnacentral:rRNA from 1 species
GGUUAAGCGACUAAGCGUACACGGUGGAUGCCCUGGCAGUCAGAGGCGAUGAAGGACGUGCUAAUCUGCGAAAAGCGCCGGCGAGGUGAUAUGAACCUUUGACCCGGCGAUGUCCGAAUGGGGAAACCCAGUGUGAUUCGUCACACUAUCGUUAACUGAAUACAUAGGUUAAC